rnacentral:rRNA from 1 species
AGCCUUUAGCAAAAGUAUUAAAGGUGCCGCCUGCCCAGUGAAACAUUUUAACGGCCGCGGAAUUCUAACCGUGCAAAGGUAGCGUAAUCACUUGUCCCCUAAAUAGGGACUGGUAUGAAUGGCUAAAUGAGGACUUAACUGUCUCUCUUAACUAAUCAGUGAAAUUGAUCUACCCGUACAAAAGCUGGUAUAUUCACAUAAGACGAGAAGACCCUGUGGAGCUUAAAGUACUUCUGUCAACACAUAAACAUGACAUAAUACUUUCAGUUGGGGCAACUACGGAAACAAACAAAACUUCCAAGAAAGGACUAAAUCCCACCACAGACAGACAUGUCAAUAUAAAAUGACCCAGAAUUUCUGAAUAACGAACCAAGUUACCCCAGGGAUAACAGCGCCAUCUUCUUCUAGAGUCCCCAUCGACAAGAAGGUUUACGACCUCGAUGUUGGAUCAGGACACCCAAAUGGUGCAACCGCUAUUAAUGGUUCGUUUGUUCAACGAUUAAAGUCCUACGUGAUC